UACGUAGGUGGCAAGCGUUGUCCGGAUUUACUGGGCGUAAAGGGCGUGCAGGCGGUUUGUUUAGUCUAGGGUGAAAGCUCCCGGCUUAACUGGGAGAGGUCCUUGGAUACUGGCAAACUUGAGGGAGGCAGAGGAAAGUGGAAUUCCCGGUGUAGUGGUGAUAUGCGUAGAUAUCGGGAGGAACACCAGUGGCGAAGGCGGCUUUCUGGGCCUUACCUGACGCUGAGGCGCGAAAGCUAGGGGAGCAAACGGG
rnacentral:rRNA from 1 species